AUUGAACGCUGGCGGCAGGCCUAACACAUGAAAGUCGAACGAGUGGCGGACGGGUGAGUAAUGUCUGGGAAACUGCCCGAUGGAGGGGGAUAACUACUGGAAACGGUAGCUAAUAACGCAUACCAUCGGAUGUGCCCAGAUGGGAUUAGCUAGUAGGUGGGGUAACGGCUCACCUAGGCGACGAUCCCUAUCUGGUCUUAGCGGAUGACCAGCCACACUGGAACCGAGCCACGGUCCGUACUCCUACGGGAGGCACAAGUGGGGAAUAUUGCACAAUGGGCGCAAGCCUGAUGCAGCCAUGCCGCGGGUAUGACGAAGGCCUUCGGGUUUUAAAGUACUUUCAGCGGGGAGGCGUUACCCGCAGAAGAAGCACCGGCUAACUCCGUGCCAGCAGCCGCGGUAAUUC
rnacentral:rRNA from 1 species